AGGUCAGUUCAGCUACAAAAUAUAGAGCACAAUUAACAUCAAAGUCUAUGGUUGAUACAAAUAGACCUGUUAGAGUAUUGGAACCUCCUACAAUAGCAACAUCUAAAAACAACUAUAGCUGUCCAAUUUGUUUUAAAGGUUUUGAAACUCUAACCAUUUUACAUGCUCACGUAAAUCAUUGCUUGGAUCAAAAAAACUAAACCCACAUCAUAGCUUAUUGGUCAAUACAAUUUACAUAUAUUUAUAUAUAUACCUGACAAUUUUAUUCAUAUAUUAUCGUUAGAUUGUAAGCAGUGUACACGUUAGUUUAAUAUAUAAUAAAUAAUAUUCAUGAAACUUGUUUUGGAUUUUCGAAA